rnacentral:rRNA from 1 species
UACGUAGGGGGCAAGCGUUGUCCGGAUUCAUUGGGCGUAAAGAGCGCGCAGGCGGUCGUUCAAGUCGCGUGUGAAAGCCCCCGGCUCAACUGGGGAGGGUCACGCGAUACUGAUCGACUCGAAGGCAGGAGAGGGAAGUGGAAUUCCCGGUGUAGUGGUGAAAUGCGUAGAUAUCGGGAGGAACACCAGUGGCGAAGGCGACUUCCUGGCCUGUUCUUGACGCUGAGGCGCGAAAGCUAGGGGAGCAAACGGG